rnacentral:rRNA from 1 species
UACGUAGGGGGCAAGCGUUGUCCGGAUUUAUUGGGCGUAAAGAGCGUGUAGGCGGCUUGGUAGGUCCGCUGUGAAAACUCGAGGCUCAACCUCGAGAUGUCGGCGGAAACCACUUGGCUAGAGUCCGGAAGAGGAGAGUGGAAUUCCGUGGUGUAGCGGUGAAAUGCGCAGAUAUCAGGAAGAACACCUAUGGCGAAGGCAGCUCUCUGGGACGGUACUGACGCGAGACGCGAAAGCGUGGGGAGCGAACAGG